GCGCCAAUAGCUCAGCUGGAUAGAGCAUCGGUUUUCUAAACCGACGGUCUCAGGUUCGAAUCCUGAUUGGCGUACCA
rnacentral:tRNA from 5 species